AUUGAACGCUGGCGGCAGGCCUAACACAUGCAAGUCGAGCGGAUGACGGGAGCUUGCUCCUUGAUUCAGCGGCGGACGGGUGAGUAAUGCCUAGGAAUCUGCCUGGUAGUGGGGGACAACGUUCCGAAAGGGGCGCUAAUACCGCAUACGUCCUACGGGAGAAAGUGGGGGAUCUUCGGACCUCACGCUAUCAGAUGAGCCUAGGUCGGAUUAGCUAGUUGGUGAGGUAAAGGCUCACCAAGGCGACGAUCCGUAACUGGUCUGAGAGGAUGAUCAGUCACACUGGAACUGAGACACGGUCCAGACUCCUACGGGAGGCAGCAGUGGGGAAUAUUGGACAAAGGGCGAAAGCCUGAUCCAGCCAUGCCGCGUGUGUGAAGAAGGUCUUCGGAUUGUAAAGCACUUUAAGUUGGGAGGAAGGGCAGUAAGUUAAUACCUUGCUGUUUUGACGUUACCGACAGAAUAAGCACCGGCUAACUCUGUG
rnacentral:rRNA from 1 species